UAAAAAACUCUCUAAAAAUAUAUUUGCUGGGUUUCUCCCAAUCUGGGAGCUGGCUUAUCGAUUCAGUGUUUUAUGAAUACUUAAUCGAUCGUUUAUUGAUUUCUUGUCUCGUUGGUGCGAUUGUGGAUUUGUCUUGUCUCGAUGGUGUGGCUGAAACAUGCUUUGUGCCCAUUGUUGAUAAGAGGACAAGGAAAGGAGCUAGCUAAUCGAGGAGCUUUAAUUUUAGGUUUUCAAUAUAUGGUUUUCUACUUCUACACUUUGCUCCUUCAGCUGAGAUACUACAAUACGAUUAGAGCAAGAAACAAGUUUGAUUUUAUCUCUUAACUUUAGAUGAUUUCAUUAAGUUGUAUUUUCUAUGUUUGAAACAGUUUAAGUUGGUAAUCACGCCUCUAUUCUAGUGAUUUGCUGACAAGGUUGGAGCUCUUUUGCUCUGUGAUAUGGGUCAUAUCAGUAGUCUCGUUGUUGCUCAUGUAUAUUGUCACCUACUCCCUAUGUGCAUCGCUCUUGUUCUCCAUGUAUCUUUUCAUUUAGUUAGAUAUGGAAUUUUGUUUAGCAUUUUGAAUGGUUUAGAACAAAGAUCUUGAUUUGUGGAACUCUGAUAUCAAGCACAAGUAUAUAAAUCUCAGGUUUCUUCAUUCUGACUUUUGUUGUCUCAUAUAUGUCUGCAUUUAUGUUUCAAAUCUAGUAUUUUAGGAUGUAUUAUCAAUUGAGCUUCUUCCCAAUAACCAAUAUUGCAUUGUUAAAGUAUUUGAUUUCACUUGUGUUGUCUCAUUUAACUCUCCUUGUUUUUAGUUUUCAACUGCUUUAAGCAUGUGUAGUGAGAGUUUGAAGGUUUGCUUCUCGACGUUGCUGGACUUUUGCUUCUUGAGAUAUCAACGAUUUGGAAACGUUCUUAUAAAGGUGUGGAAUGGAAGCCAUGUGUGAACAAGUCUACUGGAGGUAUUAAGUAAAGGCGAUGAAGGACGAGGAUGGUGUGGCUAGAGCCGUGAAGAUCCGGUUGUUGGUGUUACGAGUUCAACGGAAGAUUCAGUUGGUGGCUCUUAGAAUGUUAUUAUUUUGUUUCAAUACUUAGUUGUACUUAAGAUAUUAGUAUAAGACUUGGUAUGAUCUUAUGUAUGACAUUUUUUUGGU